UACAGAGGGUGCGAGCGUUAAUCGGAAUUACUGGGCGUAAAGGGUGCGUAGGUGGAAAAAUAAGUCAGGUGUGAAAUCCCCGAGCUUGACUUGGGAAUUGCGCUUGAUACUGUUUAUCUAGAGUGUUGUAGAGGAAAGUGGAAUUUCCGGUGUAGCGGUGAAAUGCGUAGAUAUCGGAAGGAACACCAGUGGCGAAGGCGGCUUUCUGGACAAACACUGACACUGAGGCACGAAAGCGUGGGUAGCAAACAGG
rnacentral:rRNA from 1 species